rnacentral:rRNA from 1 species
ACGUAGGGUGCGAGCGUUAAUCGGAAUUACUGGGCGUAAAGCGUGCGCAGGCGGUUUCGUAAGACAGGCGUGAAAUCCCCGGGCUUAACCUGGGAACUGCGCUUGUGACUGCGAGGCUAGAGUACGGCAGAGGGAGGUAGAAUUCCACGUGUAGCAGUGAAAUGCGUAGAGAUGUGGAGGAAUACCGAUGGCGAAGGCAGCCUCCUGGGCCAGUACUGACGCUCAUGCACGAAAGCGUGGGGAGCAAACAG